rnacentral:rRNA from 1 species
AUCUCUUCCAUCAUCAUCCUCAUGGCUUGGCAAAUCUGGAAGCAUCAAAAUGGAUGUAUCUUCGACGCUACUCGCUCUUUCGUUGGUCGUCUAGUGCAUAUCAUCCAGGAUGAUGCGCACUGUUGUGCUAGAGCUGGCGUCACCGGAUUAGAUCACAUAGUGCCUUAG